rnacentral:lncRNA from 1 species
UUGACGGCCUUGCAUGUAUCUAAUGUUUUUAACGAAGUUCGAAUUAAUAUCUCGAAAAUUAUAUCUAAAGUAAGUGUAGAAGAAGAAGUUGAAGCCAUUAUGGGGACAAGAGAGGAGAAAGCACAACACUGCACAAGUAUUAACGGUGAUGGACAACGUCUAAACACAAUAUAUAAGGUUGAAUGAAACUUGGGCGUAAAGCUAUUCCUAAGUAGAAUAGAAAUAUGAGGCGCAAAAAACUAUCUAUGGUUUAAUACAAUUUCCAAGAAUUAUUGGGUAUUACUUACAAAUUACCAUACUUAAGUAGAACUCUUUCCCAGAAUGAUUAGGAGUAGUAAGUUUCAUGCUUUUUAAUGACUUAACAAAUGCUGGCUGUUUUUAAAUGCCUAUUCCAAAAACUGGCUAACCCGUGCUAUUUUUACAUAUUACUUAGUAACCAGUACAAAAUUUUGGGUCUAAUAUAGAGUUUUCCUGUUCUAAACUAAAAAUAGAACUUGCAAUUCAAUUAUAGUUAAAUUUCAUAAUACAAAAACUUCUAAAAUCGAAUCAGUUUGGUAGUCUAUUGUUUGGCACUCCAGCUAAGUGGAUUUUACUUCAGGCACGUUGAGAAUUGUCCCACAUUAUAGAUUAGGGCUGAGGCUGGGCAAAGUGAAUCCAUAUCUCAAAGUUGAGAGAACUGAACUAUUACCUGAAGUACUUUUUUCGUACUAUCAAAUUCCGCCACAACAUUCCACAUAAGAUAACACAAUGCCUGGAUAUCUGGCUGGAGGGAUUAUAGAAAAAAUAAUCUUCUCUUAUCUAAUGCAGCGAUGAACUGGCAAUCUUAAAUAAUACAUACACUGUUAUGCGACAAUCGAUUUAAUAUUUCAUAUUGUAUAGAAUAUGGAAUAAGAAAACACUUACAGAAACAAAUUUAAGCAUUUAAAGAUGAAAAUGAUGGUCUAGUUAUCUAGAUGCAGACCACCCCAACAAACACAUGGAGGAGUAAUCACAGAUGUUUUCGAAAAGGACGUUCUAGUGUUCUAGUGGACUUUGCAUAUGUCAGAUCAGCAAUGCCUGCUAUUACUGAAAGAAAGAUUUCAUUCAAUGAUGAAAAAAAAAUAGAACUCUCAUAUAGAGCAGUAACGGUAUAGUGCACCAGUAGCCACUUUUUAAGUCCGUUGUUUAAAUAUUCAUAAUUUAUAAUGUAUUUAAAGAUUACCCAAUGGACUAAGUAUCUUGAAUUUGAAAAUUCGGGACUCAGUAUCCUAAAUUUUUGAGCUGCUAAUUUGAAAUUCAGGAUUAAAUGUCCUGAAUUUCUGAACUAUUAAUUAAAAAAUCAGGACUAAGUUUCCUGAAUUUCUAAUCUAUUAAUUUAAAAUUCAAGACAUAAGAUAAGAACUUCUGGACACAAUUUUUGAACUUUAGAACACGAUGCCCUGCAGUUUGGACUUUGAGGUUUAAACUUUAGGAUGUCGUAUCCUGAAGUUUGAGUGAAUGGCUAAUGUUUAAAUACAUUUGUAAACUUUGAAUAUAAUUUAAAUAGCAUGCUUAAAAGUGGCUACCUGAUGUCGCAGUACUUCUGCCGGAAAACCACUUUUGGGCCUUCCCAUUUCUUAAAUUUGCAUGACUAAGAAGACAGCCUCUUUUGGUCUCUCAAUGCAAGAACCAAUAUUUCUUGAAAUAGAAGUGUCAAAAAUCUUCAAAACAUUCAAUCUUUAGCCUUCAGAACAUUGCAGAAGAACCGACUUAGCACCAGUAGUGAUUAUCAAUGGAGUAAGAUAUUCUGGAAAACGCUGAGAGAAUUGGUAUAUCCCCUCUGGCAAUGAACAAGGAGAUAUCAGGUUUCAGUUUGGCUGGCCAGGAAGGACAAUCUUUCUUCCUGGUCCAACAAUUUCUCUCAUAUCCCAAACUCAUCAAUAUUCUUUAUCAUGCAGUAAGGAUUAUGUGAUCUAGACUUUAGUUACCAGUCAUUGGAUGCUAUUUGAUGAGGAAGCAGCAGCUCAAAAGAUCCCCAUGGCGCCAAUCCCAAGUCUGACGAUCCUCAACUCUCAUCGACCAUCCCAACUGGUCUUGCUUUACAAAGUCUACCAGCCUUUCAUGCAUCAAAUAGACUUCCAUUGCUAGUUGUCCCUUGAAAUAGCAGCUGACAAAAGCAAAUGAAGCUACGAUGCAUGCAAGAAACUCUUUAACUUGACGCGACCCAAUCUAGGGUAGCAUCAUGAUUUGAUAUUAAAAACUCAAGGCAAUUUGCUAGACUCAAGGCCUAUGUAUUUGACUACAAUAAAUUAUGGGUAAACUAAAUUAUGAUUGCUUUCUCAGACCCUACUUUGUGGGACUGUACUGGGUAGUUGUUAAAUUAUGAUUGCUUUGAUGAAUUGGGAUGAGAUUAAGAGUUUGAAAAAAAAGGUUAUGAAAGAGAAUCCAUGGAAUUCUUCAUGUACUAGAUGAUAUGAAUAUGUUGUAAUUGGUAGCUUGUUGAUGAGUUUGAGCAACCCAUGGCCUGAGCAACCUCAAUUUGAUGAAUUAAGUGACAGACAUGAAACCAUAAAUAGGGACAGACAUUAAGGGUUGGGUAUUUUGAAUUGGCUAGGAUUUACCAUAAAUAGGGAUAUAAUUAAUAUGAAAAAUUAACAAUAGGUAGUGUUAGCUUUUCAGAUAAAUUAUAUCCCUAUUUAUAGUAAACAUAAUUUGAUUGGGGAAAGCAUUGAGAUUGCUCAUAUUACCCUUGAACUACACCCACUUGUAGCAUGAGUAAUAACUUUAUUAAAAAAUGUACGGAAAAGGGUCAAAACUUCCCCUAGAUGAUUGGAGUUGGUAUAAUAACUCUCCGUCCACCUAUUUUGAAAAAAUUGCCCUCACCGUUAUCUUUUUGGCUCAAGAAUGCCCUUACGAUCAUGUUAGAUAUAAAAAAAUUAAUUAAUUUUCAUGUUCCAUAACGCAAAAAGGUCAAAACUGCCCCUAGACUAUUGGAGUUGCUACAAUAAUACCCCCAUCUCAAAAAAUCUCUCCCUUCCCCCUUCCCCUUAGCGUGUGGGUUCAUAUUACUCUUGUUUUUCUCAUCCUUUUUUGACCUUGCACUCUAUUUGAAUAAUCACUACAAAUAUCAUUAAAGUUUUAUUUUAAGACAACCAAAAUUUUUUGUCAGCAAUACUUUACGUCAUACAACUUUAAAAAACCAUGUUAAGCAAAAAAAAAACGUAAUUAAUUUUCAUGUUUCAUUGUCUCAUUGAUUGGUUGCCUAAAAAUAAAACUUUAAUGAUAUUUGUAGUGAUUAUUCAAAUAUAGCAUCCUCGUAAAUUAAGCUAUUGUACGAGGAUGCUCUUCAACUUAUAUGAAUACCGCCAAUUUUUUUUCUUAAAAAAAGACAAUUAAAUCAAGAGAAAUAUUUGAGAUUAUAUGCCUGAGAAUAUGAGAAAAUACGACUUAUUGGUGACUGUGACUGUAAUAAACACUUGAUUGAGCGUAUUGUAUGAAGCAGUAAAGUGUAGUAAGAAAAANNN